AGCACAAAGCCCUUCGCAGGUGACCGCAGCGGUUGGUUCGCGUGUCCCAUCUAUGGGUCUGUGAGGUCCUUGAUACUACUUUUCAGUCCCCAGCCCGAUUCCUGGAGUACAGCUGGUGCUCAACAAAUACUGAGUGAAUGUGUGAGGGACAUAAAUGAGAGGCGGACGCUGGCAUCCGGGAGCUGCGCAAUGAUCUAACGAAUUUCUGCAAAGAUUACAACUACCUCGCCUUUCUCCUAGGUUUCAAGGCGACUGCCGGGUGCGAAAGGAACCGCACACCCCUCAGAGGCGAAAGAAGCGUUUCAGACCCGAGAGGCGGACGGGAGCGCGGAGGGAGGAGGCUCGAGCCAGCCAGCCCCGGCGCUGCGCGCGCCGCCGCCCCUCACCGCGCGCGCCUCUGGCCGCCGCAAGCAAGGCCGGCGGGUGGCGCGCGAUCUUCGCGUCGCUCUGGGCCGGCGGCCGCGGCGCCGCGCUGGUGGGUGGGAUCGUGGCGGAGCGCCAGGCGCCCAAACAGGGGCGAGAAAGCGCCAUGGCGGCGGCGGCGGCGGCGGCUGUGUCCGGUGCUCACGCCGCGGCGAGGUGAGGGGGCCGCCUCUUCUCCACAACUGAGGAGGCCACAGCUGCCGGCCCACCCGCCUUCCACGCGGGCCGCGGCUCCGGCAUGGCCGGGAUCAUUAAGAAGCAGAUCCUGAAACACCUGUCCCGGUUCACUAAGAAUCUUUCCCCAGACAAAAUCAACCUGAGCACCCUGAAAGGGGAGGGUCAGCUGACCAACCUGGAGCUGGAUGAAGAGGUUCUACAGAAUGUACUGGAGCUGCCCACCUGGUUAGCCAUCACUCGGGUCUACUGCAACAGGGCCUCCAUCCGGAUCCAGUGGACAAAGUUGAAGACACACCCUAUUUGCUUGUGUCUGGAUAAGGUAGAGGUGGAGAUGAAGACAUGUGAGGAUCCUCGGCCCCCCAAUGGACAGUCUCCCAUUGCCCUUGCUUCAGGACAGAGUGAAUAUGGCUUUGCCGAAAAGGUGGUGGAAGGGAUGUUCAUCAUUGUCAAUUCUAUCACCAUCAAGAUUCACUCCAAGGCCUUCCAUGCUUCUUUUGAAUUGUGGCAGCUCCAGGGCUAUAGUGUCAACCCCAACUGGCAGCAGAGUGACCUUCGCCUUACCCGCAUCACUGACCCCUGCCGAGGAGAGGUUUUAACAUUUAAGGAAAUAACUUGGCAAACACUCCGAAUUGAGGCAGAUGCUACAGACAAUGGUGAUCAGGACCCAGUCACCACUCCAUUGAGGCUUAUUACGAACCAAGGCAGGAUCCAAAUAGCCCUCAAAAGAAGAACCAAAGAUUGCAAUGUGAUAUCCUCCAAGCUGAUGUUCCUGUUGGAUGACCUGCUCUGGGUGCUGACUGACUCACAGCUCAAGGCUAUGAUGAAGUAUGCAGAGUCACUGAGUGAAGCCAUGGAGAAGUCAGCCCAUCAAAGAAAGAGCCUGGCCCCUGAACCUGUGCAGAUCACUCCACCAGCUCCCAAUGCCCAGCAGUCCUGGGCCCAGGCAUUUGGUGGCAGCCAGGGCAACAGCAACAGCAGCAGCAGCCGCCUCAGCCAGUACUUUGAGAAAUUUGAUGUGAAAGAGUCCUCCUACCAUCUGCUCAUCUCCCGCCUGGACCUGCACAUUUGUGAUGAUAGCCAGUCCCGAGAGCCAGGUGUCUCUGCCAACAGACUCAUGGGUGGUGCCAUGCAGCUUACCUUCCGCAAGAUGGCGUUUGACUAUUACCCUUUCCAUUGGGCAGGUGAUAGCUGCAAACAUUGGGUACACCACUGUGAGGCCAUGGAGACCCGAGGCCAGUGGGCCCAGAAGCUGGUGAUGGAAUUUCAGAGCAAAAUGGAGAAGUGGCAUGAAGAGACGGGUCUGAAACCACCCUGGCACCUUGGAGUAGACUCUCCCUUUUGGAGAAAAGCAGAUUCUCUUUCCAGUCCUCGAAAGAACCCUCUUGAGAGAAGCCCCUCUCAGGGCAGACAGCCUGCCUUUCGGCCUCCAGCAUGGAACCGCUUACGCUCUAGCUGCAUGGUGGUACGGGUGGAUGACCUGGACAUCCACCAGGUUUCCACCGCUGGACAGCCAAGUAAAAAGCCAUCUACACUCCUUUCCUGCAGUCGGAAACUUCACAACCUCCCUACCCAGGUCUCUGCCAUUCAUAUUGAGUUCACGGAGUAUUACUUCCCAGAUAAUCAGGAGCUUCCAGUUCCUUGUCCUAAUCUCUACAUUCAGUUAAAUGGUCUGACAUUUACUAUGGAUCCUGUCAGUUUGCUCUGGGGAAACCUCUUUUGCCUGGAUUUAUACCGCAGCUUGGAGCAGUUCAAAGCUAUCUACAAGCUGGAAGAUUCAAGUCAGAAAGAUGAACACUUGGACAUCCGACUAGAUGCAUUCUGGUUGAAGGUGAGCUUUCCACUGGAAAAGAGAGAGCGGGCAGAGUUGCAUCGUCCCCAGGCCCUUGUCUUCUCUGCGUCAGGCAUGAUUGCCACCAAUACACGUCAUGCUCCACAUUGUAGUUGUUCAGACCUCCAGAGUCUCUUCCGGGGUUUUGCUGCUGCAGAGUUCUUUCAUUCCAAUUAUGAUCACUUUCCUAAGGUUCCAGGUGGCUUUAGCCUUCUGCACAUGCUUUUUUUGCAUCAUGCCUUUCAGAUGGAUUCCUGCCUGCCUCAGCCUAAUACCCUCCCUCCCCAGAGACCUAAGGCUUCCCGGGAUCUCUGGUCUGUCCACUUUACCCAGAUCUCCUUGGACUUUGAGGGAACAGAAAACUUCAAAGGCCAUACCUUGAAUUUUGUAGCCCCCUUCCCCCUGUCCAUUUGGGCCUGCCUACCCCUUCGCUGGCAGCAAGCCCAGGCACGGAAGCUUCUUUUGGCCUCAGAGGGGAGGCUGAAACCAUCAGCCAGUUUUGGAAGUCCUGUCCAGUCUGAGGCUCUUGCCCCUGACUCUAUGUCCCAUCCACGGUCAAAGACUGAACAUGACUUGAAAAGCUUAUCAGGACUUACAGAAGUCAUGGAAAUUCUGAAAGAAGGCAGUAGUGGUAUGGACAACAAAGGGCCUCUGACAGAGCUGGAGGAUGUAGCAGAUGUUCAUAUGCUUGUACAUUCCCCGGCCCAUGUCCGCGUGAGGCUUGACCACUACCAGUACUUGGCUCUGCUUCGCCUGAAGGAGGUGCUGCAGAGGCUUCAGGAGCAGCUGACUAAGGAUACAGAGUCAAUGACUGGGUCUCCCCUGCAGAACCAGACAGCUUGCAUUGGAGUUCUCUUUCCCAGCGCUGAGGUGGCUCUGCUUAUGCAUCCUGCACCCGGUGCUGUCGAUGCUGACUCUGCAGGCUCAGAUAGCACUAGCCUCGUAGAUUCAGAGCUAUCUCCUUCAGAGGAUCGGGAACUGAAGUCUGAUGCCUCAUCAGACCAGGGCCCAGCAAGCCCUGAGAAGGUCUUGGAGGAAAGUAGCAUUGAAAAUCAGGAUGUAUCCCAGGAGAGGCCACAUAGCAAUGGAGAACUGCAGGACUCAGGUCCACUUGCCCAGCAGCUGGCAGGGAAGGGCCAUGAGGCAGUAGAGUCCCUACAGGCCAAGAAACUGAGCAGAACCCAAGCCUCCAGCUCACCAGCUGCAUUGAAGCCCCCAGCUGGCAGGGAGACUGCUGUGAAUGGACAGGGUGAGCUCAUCCCCUUGAAGAACAUUGAGGGAGAAUUGUCAAGUGCUAUUCACAUGACCAAGGAUGCCACCAAGGAGGCUCUACAUGCCACCAUGGACCUCACCAAGGAAGCUGUGUCCCUGACUAAGGAUGCCUUCAGUUUGGGCAGAGAUCGAAUGACCUCCACCAUGCACAAGAUGUUGUCCCUGCCCCCAGCCAAGGAGCCCAUGGCCAAGACAGAUGAGGGGGUGGCAGCCCCAGUGAGUGGAGGUGCUGCACGACUCCGAUUUUUCUCCAUGAAGAGGACAGUAUCUCAACAGUCAUUUGAUGGUGUCUCAUUGGAUAGCAGUGGCCCUGAAGACCGGAUUUCAGUGGACAGUGAUGGCAGUGAUAGCUUUGUGAUGCUCUUGGAGUCUGAGUCUGGUCCAGAAUCUGUUCCACCAGGAUCUCUUUCAAAUGUCUCAGAUAAUGCUGGUGUUCAAGGGAGCCCUCUUGUGAAUAAUUAUGGCCAGGGGUCACCAGCAGCCAACAGUUCAGUUUCACCCAGUGGAGAAGACCUCAUCUUUCACCCGGUCUCAGUUCUGGUCCUGAAGGUGAAUGAGGUGUCUUUUGGGAUUGAGGUACGUGGUGAGGACCUGACUGUGGCCCUGCAAGCAGAGGAACUGACCCUCCAGCAGCUGGGCACCGUGGGACUCUGGCAGUUCCUGCGUGGACAGUGCCCAGGUACAUGCUUUCAGGAAUCCUCAACUUUGAAGACUGGCCACAUCAGGCCAGCUGUGGGCCUUCGCUUUGAGGUGGGGCCUGGAGCAGCUGUUCAUUCCCCCCUGGCCUCACAAAAUGGCUUCCUACAUUUAUUGCUUCAUGGCUGUGACCUCGAGCUGCUCACUUCAGUGCUCAGUGGCCUGGGGCCCUUCUUGGAGGAUGAGGAGAUCCCGGUGGUAGUCCCCAUGCAGAUUGAGCUUCUGAACUCCAGCAUCACCCUAAAGGUGUGAGGAACUUUUGGUUUUUGCCAAUGUAAGGGCACAUUGGUUUUUGCCCUGGACUUUGUCAAGCAAGGAAGCAGUGACACCUGUUAACCUCUUCCCUUUUCACUGUAAAAUAUGGAUGAUAUCCCCCCCAUCUAUCCAACAUCUCCAGGCCCCAUCCCCAUCACUCUGGCCAUGGAACAUGUUGUGCUGAAGAGGAGUGAUGACGGUGUGUUCCACAUAGGCGCUGCUGCUCAGGACAAACCAUCAGCUGAAGUACUUAAAAGUGAGAAGAGACAGCCCCCAAAAGAACAGGUGUUUUUGGUGCCCACAGGAGAGGUUUUUGAACAGCAGGUGAAAGAACUGCCUAUCCUACAAAAAGAACUUAUAGAAACUAAACAAGCCUUGGCCAAUGCCAACCAGGAUAAAGAAAAACUUCUUCAGGAGAUUAGGAAAUAUAACCCCUUCUUUGAGCUCUGAAACCAGUGGCUCAGCCAUCUGUGCCAAGGAGAGAGGCUAUCACCAGCAAUAGCACCACCUAGGACAGAGGGCACUGUCCAGUGCUGAAUAAGUCACUAUGGAUGCCAGAGGGACUGGGGAGCACUCACUUCACUUGUGUGGGUGUGCUUUCCACUAGCUGUUCUUACUUGGACUGAGGACAAGGGCAAAGCAUGAUUGUAUCCCAGGAAACUGGGGCUUGCCCUGUGUGUGGCACAAGCAUCAUGUCUUGCCUGUAUAAAGCCUUUUGGUCCUCUGUGUACUAGGUGGAAUCUUCUCAACACUGUAGGGCCAUUUCACCUCAUGGUUUCAUGGCAGGGACAUUUGCUUCCUUCACAGGCCUGUGUGAACAAGCAAAAGUAUGCACCUCCUCGGUCACCCACAGAGCCACCAAAGAUUCCAUGUCCCAGAGCUUCCCAUAGCAGACCUGAAAAGUCCAUGACCUGAGCUUUGGCCAUGGUAGUGGAGUGGAACAGGAAAUAGUCCAGCAGAGGAGUGUGGGGGAAGGGGGCAGGAGAGGCACAAGAAUAAGGGAGACCUGGACUCUGCCUUUUUGGGAAAAGGAACCAAGCUCAUAGCAAUUUGGCUGAUAACACAAUCAGAUUUUUCCAGGUUAAGCUUCCUUUCUGUUAUACUUCCAUCAUUGUGAUGCUGUGGUAGAAAGUAAACAACAGUAGUGGCUCAGUCAUUUAAUCUUUCCCCUCUAUAAUACAACUUACUUGAAAUUUAAAUCAAGAAAAAAUUUCUGACGCUGAGCUAGGUUGGUGGCAUGAUAUGCCAGGGGUCAGUGGGGGAGCUUGCUUCUGAGCCCCCUGUUGUCCGCCUGGAGUCCUGCUUGUCUUUCCCAGCUGUGCUGAGUGGCUCUUCUGUCUCCCUGGGGUCCCUGGCAUAUCUGCUUUCCCAGCUCUGUGACCUUACCAGUUCUCUCCUCAGCCCUUGGUGGUUUGGGAGCUGAAUAUAUGUUUUAAACUUUUACAUAAACAAAUCAACCUGUUGCCUCUCACUUCCCUCCAUCACUGUGGCUUUUAAAACUCAUGUAUUUUGACUCAAGUGAAAAAAACACAAAAAUCCCUCAUCCCAGCUAGGUUUUGCCCCCUGCCGUAUAAAAGAGCUAUUUCCCCCUUUCUUUCCUUUGAAUUCUUCUCCAACACUAUCCCUUCAUUCAUACUGCCCUGUGAUACACUUGAAGCUGUGUUGAUUGGACAGACGUUCAUCAGCUAACUUACCUUUACUUGGCAAGAUGGUAAAAUAGUAACUUAGUGAUGUUACUAAAGUCUCGACCAUUCACCUUUCCAUACUGAAGGAAAGGUAAAAAGGUUUCUUCUAUGGGAAAUUAUGCUUGACUUGCAUACUCUAGUUUGAUGAGGAUAAAAAGAAACAUGUAAUUGCAGUGGUGUUUACAACUAAUUGAUCACAACCAAUCAUAGAUUUCUUUGUUCCUUCUCCACUCUCAACACUUCAUUUGACUAGAAAAAAAAAUGUAUUCACCAAGGAACAGGACCCAAUUUGUUCAGACUUUUGUUAAGUUUCUUUACUAAGGCAAUUUUUGAAACACCAGUUACUAUGGGAUGGUGGGAAUUUUUCAUGCUUAAGAAAUAGAGACUUAGGAACAAAGAAACACCUUUCUGGAGAAAAUGCUAAUGGGAAGUUACCUAAGGCUUGAUGCUUGGUUCAACCUUAUUUAAAAUUUUUAUAAAUGACCUGAAAGUAGGAUUUUACAGUGAAAUCAAAUGUCACUACUUCCAGGCAGUGAAAGGUAAUCUAGAAGAGGUUUAAAAAACACAAAACCGGUCGGGCACAGCGGCUCAUGCCUGUAAUCCCAGCACUUUGGGAGGCCGAGGCGGGGAGAUCACGAGUUCAGGAGAUCGAGACCAUCCUGGCCAACAUGGUGAAACUUUGUUUCCACUAAAAAUACAAAAAUUAGCUGGGUGUGGUGGUGGGUGCCUGUAGUUCCAGCUACUCGGGAGGCUGAAGCAGGAGAAUCGCUUGAACCCGGGAGGCAGAGGUUGCAGUGAGCCGAGAUAGCGCCAUUGCACUCCAGCCUGGCAACAGAGUGAGACUCCGUCUCAAAACAAACAAACAAACACAAAACCACAGAAGGGUUACUAAUAAGCAGGGCUGAGAAUACUCAGAAAACUGACAGGUGAGGUUCAACAUAAUAUAAGGAAAUGUAUUUAUGGAAGAAUUAUCAACUGAUAUGCCUGAACACUGUUAGAACUCAGGAAAGAAACAAGCAUUGCUGAGGGGGAGGAGAGAUCAAUGUGCUGCUGUGGCCAAAAGCCUAAUUGCCCUGUGGGCAUCAUCAGGAAGGGCUUUUGGAGAUAACAGAGAACAGCACUUUAUACAAAACCAUGGAUAUGUCUUGAUCGGAUUAUCUGUGUUUCUAGUGACCUUAUUUACAAGAUAUAUGAUAAAGGGAGGAAAGGUCCAGAGAACAGCCAAAAUUAUCAGGGGAUGGAGGUAUAUCCACAUGAGGACACAUCUUUAAAAUAUAGACUCUAUCCUGCAAAGAUGAAAGCAGAGGGGAGUUAGAUCAAAUAUCCAAUCAAGAGCAAGGACCCGGUCCUGUACUACUAGCUCUAGGGCUCUAUCUCAUAGCCUUAGUAAAGAAAGCACUUCUCAUAGCAAAUCAGAAAUGUAAGGAGCUCAUUGUCUAAGAAGGGAUGCCACCAGAAACUAUACAUGGGUGCAGGUUUAUGAGGAAUCCUUGCAUGACGGCCUUCUACAAGGAAUUAUAGAAAAGUAGGGCUACUUGGUAAUAUACAACUGAGAGGGUAACUGUGUCCCUCAACAAACUACUCCUUAGUGCCUCUUUCAAAGGCAGAAUGUUGAUCUGAAUGGAUCACUGGUCAAGUAUGGCAUCUCUAAUGUUCUUGAAGGGGGAGGAGGGAGAUCUGGUAGCCGGAAAAUAUAAUUAUUCCACCUUAGGCUCACCUGAAUUGGUUUAAAUCAUCUCUUCUCAUCCCUUCCUCCCCUCACCCACCAUAUACCUCUGGCAUCCCUCCAUGCAAAGAAAAUGUCGAAUAGGCAUUUCUUGGUAUACUUUACCUACACUUGUGCUUGUGGGGUGGGAGUAAAAACAUAUCCAGUAAGUACCAAGGCUAACCUCCUAAUGGCUGGAGCUCAGUUAGGUCUCUGGGCUCUCUAAAGGAGUCCAGAGCUCUUGUCCAUGUCACAAAUGGAGCCUUAGAAUUUCUGGCUUUCCUUAUGUGGCAGCUUUGGCCAUUGUGUCUUGAAAUUCUCCCUCAGGAAAUGAUAGGGGAUAUUAUCCCAUGGGAUUUUAGUAAAAAUCAGCUUGCCUAAUUUCAUAUUCCUGUUCGUAAUGAAGAAAUGCGAAGUGGUGGUAGUCCUCAGGAUUAAGUGUAAAGGAAAAUAUGCAAGGAAAAAGUAGCAGUGUCAGCCCUUUUGGACUGCUUAUGAUUUCUGCCUUAGAGCUACAAGACUUGGAACAAGAAAUAACAAUACCUCAAGAAAAUGUCUGGAGAGAUAGCACCACUGUCCCUCAAAGACUUCAGCCACUGCACAUUACCAAUUCAGCUGUGAAGCAUUUACAACUGUAUUAUCUGUGAUUGUCUGCAUUUCCUGUUUACAUGCAUGUGCUGGGGAUAUGCUUUAGUGUGUAUGGACUAGAGUUUAAAUCCUGUCUUUAACUGGGCUGCAAGGAUGGCUAUCAAUCCCAAAUUCUGUUUUCAACUCACUGGAAUAAUCUAGUGUUCCUGAUAUAAAACAGGUGGGUUCUAUUCACAUGAUGGCUGCCCUUUACCAUAUAUUUCACCUGACCCUCAUUUUGCCGUGGGCCUCAACCUUUAUGUCUGCUUUUUAUGGUUCUGAAAGGACUGGCUCCCGUGUGUGGAAUAUACAAGGUAUAAACACCAUCCCUCACAUACCCCUGUAACUUAAAUGCUUCCAUUUAACUCACUUAGAUUACUUUCCCCUUAGUGGUAAACGGGUUGGGGGAUGGGUGGUAGUGCAAAGAAGGUAGUUUGAAAUAUUGCCAUAGUAAUAUGGGAACUUUUUAUUCCAACCCUUUACCCUGGCUUUUUUUUCUCACAAUAUCUGCCUAAACUUCUAAAAUGAGUUAUAGUAAAAUCAUAAAACUAUGAAAACAACUGAACUUUGGUACACAAGUUAGUUCGAUGACAUCUUGUUAUUUGAGAACAGUAAAAGGUGUGUCAUUGCCUCAUGAUUUAUCAUAGUCAUUACUAAGGGUUUCAGAGAGAAUCUGGUGUGAAGCACUAUCCUUUCAGACACUAAGGCCUUUACCUAGUUGCUCCCCUACCUUCUGUCAGAAUAGGAUUAUUCCCAUGCACCUCUGGGUAGGUAUAGGUAGUAGCUAUUGAACGGGGAUUAUUUUCCCCAUGGCACAAGGGGAAACACUCUUGGAUAACCUUCAACAAUGAGGCUUUGCUAAGUGGCCAGACUUGGGAUUUGAUCUUCCUCACUUGUUAUUUAUUAAGUUUAAGCCUUAUUCAGUAUCUCUAAUUGCAACAGAUACAGUUCCUGUGACUUCUAAAAAAAAUUCCUGUUAAUGCUGAGACAGUAUCUUUUUUGUCAGUUUAUUAAUUUUUGGUCAAGAUUUAGCCUGAGUCUUAAAGCAUUUAUUUGUGGAAUGCCCCACUGAAGUGUCUUCUCCAUUGGCUAAGUACAUGUUUAAAGCCAUGGGUUUUAAUGUAAGAUACUUUUAGUAUCUAAUUCUGUUUCCCCCACUGAGGGUGCUAAAGAGAAUUAGAAUCUUUACUAAGACAUGCUCAGGAAAGCUUCACGAGAGAACAGCUUCAAAAUCCUUCUCCCUAUGACACUGAAUGGUAGUGAGGAAAGAAUUCUUGGGGAUGCCAGUUACAUACAAUAGCCUUAUUAGUGCUAAUCACUGUCAAUAAAAGGUCACUUCAUUCACCUCUAUUUGAGGAAAACAAUGAGAAUGUAUCUGAUGAACUAGAAUCCUUGUCAGUAUUGGGAAAUUUUAAUGUUGCAAUAUCUAGUCAAACUUUGAGUGUACUGGUUCUGUGAACCACCUGAAAAAACAAAUUAAAUGUAUUAAACCAUAA